GAUGAACGCUGGCGGCGUGCCUAAUACAUGCAAGUCGAGCGAACAGACGAGGAGCUUGCUCCUCUGACGUUAGCGGCGGACGGGUGAGUAACACGUGGAUAACCUACCUAUAAGACUGGGAUAACUUCGGGAAACCGGAGCUAAUACCGGAUAACAUGUUGAACCGCAUGGUUCAACAGUGAAAGACGGUCUUGCUGUCACUUAUAGAUGGAUCCGCGCGGCAUUAGCUAGUUGGUAAGGUAACGGCUUACCAAGGCAACGAUGCAUAGCCGACCUGAGAGGGUGAUCGGCCACACUGGAAGUGAGACCCGGUCCAGACUCCUACGGGAGGCAGCAGUAGGGAAUCUUCCGCAAUGGGCGAAAGCCUGACGGAGCAACGCCGCGUGAGUGAAGAAGGUCUUCGGAUCGUAAAACUCUGUUAUGAGGGAAGAACAAAUGUGUAAGUAACUGUGCACGUCUUGACGGUACCUAGUCAGAAAGCCACGGCUAACUACGUG
rnacentral:rRNA from 1 species